rnacentral:lncRNA from 1 species
CCAUAUAUAUGUAUAUAACUCCCGAGAUAAAGCAGACAAAGAGCUAUCAGACCAAGAACUUCAUAAUCAUCAUCCUCCUCGAGAGAGAGAAGCCCUAAAACACCUUCAGCAAUCAAAAUUUACAGAAACUGAUCCGGUGCCAGCCCUGAAGACCAGUUACAUAGGUACAAUCAUCAUAAAAACACAUACCAAAAACCAAAAAUGAUCAAUUGGUAUGUAAAAAUAAUAUUCCUGCAACAAAUUUAUAGUAGUAAGUGAAAUUAAUCAAUAAAAUUGAGGAAGCAACCGACCAAACUAAUAAAAUUGAAUGUAAAAAAUAUAGAAAUUAGAACUGUAAUUUAGUGGGGGGAGAAAGAGUUUGAGGAAGAGAGAGAAUGAAACCUUCAAUGUCCCUGGGAGUAUUUUGGCAUCCAUAUUGGUUUCUCUCCUCAC